AAUAGAUACCCUGGUAGUCCACGCCCUAAACGAUGUCUACUAGUUGUCGGGUCUUAAUUGACUUGGUAACGCAGCUAACGCGUGAAGUAGACCGCCUGGGGAGUACGGUCGCAAGAUUAAAACUCAAAGGAAUUGACGGGGACCCGCACAAGCGGUGGAUGAUGUGGAUUAAUUCGAUGCAACGCGAAAAACCUUACCUACCCUUGACAUGUCAGGAACCUCCGAGAGAUUGGAGGGUGCCCGAAAGGGAGCCUGAACACAGGUGCUGCAUGGCUGUCGUCAGCUCGUGUCGUGAGAUGUUGGGUUAAGUCCCGCAACGAGCGCAACCCUUGUCAUUAGUUGCUACGAAAGGGCACUCUAAUGAGACUGCCGGUGACAAACCGGAGGAAGGUGGGGAUGACGUCAAGUCCUCAUGGCCCUUAUGGGUAGGGCUUCACACGUCAUACAAUGGUACAUACAGAGGGCCGCCAACCCGCGAGGGGGAGCUAAUCCCAGAAAGUGUAUCGUAGUCCGGAUCGCAGUCUGCAA
rnacentral:rRNA from 1 species